CCUACGGGAGUCAGCAGUGAGGAAUAUUGGUCAAUGGGCGCGAGCCUGAACCAGCCAAGUAGCGUGAAGGAUGACUGCCCUACGGGUUGUAACCUUCUUUUAUAAAGGAAUCAAGUGAGGCACGUGUGCCUUUUUGUCUGUACUUUUUGAAUAAGGAUCGGCUAAGUCCGUGCCAGCAGCCGCGGUAAUACGGAGGAUCCGAGCGUUAUACGGAUUUAUUGGGUUUAAAGGGAGCGUAGAUGGGUUGUUAAGUCAGUUGUGAAAGUUUGCGGCUCAACCGUAAAAUUGCAAUUGAUACUGGCAGCCUUGAGUACAGUUGAGGUAGGCGGAAUUCGUGGUGUAGCGGUGAAAUGCUUAGAUAUCACGAAGAACUCCGAUUGCGAAGGCAGCUUACUAAACUGCCACUGACAUUGAUGCUCGAAAGUGUGGGUAUCAAACAGGAUUAGAUACCCCAGUAGUC
rnacentral:rRNA from 1 species